rnacentral:rRNA from 1 species
UCGGAGGCGGACAGAUGGGAGCUUGCUCCCUGAUGUUAGCGGCGGACGGGUGAGUAACACGUGGGUAACCUGCCUGUAAGACUGGGAUAACUCCGGGAAACCGGGGCUAAUACCGGAUGGUUGUUUGAACCGCAUGGUUCAAACAUAAAAGGUGGCUUCGGCUACCACUUACAGAUGGACCCGCGGCGCAUUAGCUAGUUGGUGAGGUAACGGCUCACCAAGGCAACGAUGCGUAGCCGACCUGAGAGGGUGAUCGGCCACACUGGGACUGAGACACGGCCCAGACUCCUACGGGAGGCAGCAGUAGGGAAUCUUCCGCAAUGGACGAAAGUCUGACGGAGCAACGCCGCGUGAGUGAUGAAGGUUUUCGGAUCGUAAAGCUCUGUUGUUAGGGAAGAACAAGUACCGUUCGAAUAGGGCGGUACCUUGACGGUACCUAACCAGAAAGCCACGGCUAACUACGUGCCAGCAGCCGCGGUAAUACGUAGGUGGCAAGCGUUGUCCGGAAUUAUUGGGCGUAAAGGGCUCGCAGGCGGUUUCUUAAGUCUGAUGUGAAAGCCCCCGGCUCAACCGGGGAGGGUCAUUGGAAACUGGGGAACUUGAGUGCAAAGAGGAGAGUGGAAUUCCACGUGUAGCGGUGAAAUGCGUAGAGAUGUGGAGGAACACCAGUGGCGAAGGCGACUCUCUGGUCUGUAACUGACGCUGAGGAGCGAAAGCGUGGGGAGCGAACAGGAUUAGAUACCCUGGUAGUCCACGCCGUAAACGAUGAGUGCUAAGUGUUAGGGGGUUUCCGCCCCUUAGUGCUGCAGCUAACGCAUUAAGCACUCCGCCUGGGGAGUACGGUCGCAAGACUGAAACUCAAAGGAAUUGACGGGGGCCCGCACAAGCGGUGGAACAUGUGGUUUAAUUCGAAGCAACGCGAAGAACCUUACCAGGUCUUGACAUCCUCUGACAAUCCUAGAGAUAGGACGUCCCCUUCGGGGGCAAAAUGACAGGUGGU